rnacentral:lncRNA from 1 species
GGAGCUAUGGUGUGUGGAAAUUCCAAACUGUAGCUUAGUUGCCUUGCCCUGAAACUUGUCUCCUCUGGAGAUACAGGGCUGGGGGCAAGGCUGAGCGAGAAGAAUCUGUCUUGGUCAAUCCUGGUGCUCUGGAAGAAAACCUUGUGUGAUGGUCAUCUCUAGUUGGUAAUCUGAUAUAAGUUGAGUUGCCGACAGAACCCAGCUGAGGAGAAUGACUGGUCUAAUCCCAGCAUGGCUUUCCUGCUCCCUUUGCUAGGUGUGUGAUUUCCCAGCUUCCCUUGGAGAAAUGUCACUGCCAUGAUUGUGUUACAGAGGACCUCCAUCUAGCCAGCACGCUCACACUCCUUCCCUGGAUCGGUUUGAUGAAGCAGGCCUCCAUGUUGUAAACUGUCUCAUGGAGAGGCCCAACUGGCAAGGAACUGAGGAAAGCCUCUGGCCAACAGCCAGUGAGGAGCUGAAUCCUGCCAACAACACUGAGAAAGUUUGGAAGUGGAUCCUGCCCCAGUUGAACCUUCAGAUGGCUGUGGUCUCAGCUGACAUCUUGAUUGUAGCUUUGUAAGAGACUUUGACCCAGAGGACUCAGAUGAUGAAACAGGACACAGAGAGGUUAUUUUUCCCAAAUCCAGUAAAGACGCAGAGCUGGAGGUUGAACCAGGGCUUCCGAUGCCAAUUCUGGAUUGCUCCUGGCUGUGCCAUGUUGGUUCUAUAAGAAAAUCGAGGCAUGGAAACAAUGCUGUCCACAGCCACACCGAGGGGGCAAAGUAGAGCUGGAAUUCCAACACUGGUCUGUCCAGCUUCAAGACCCAACCUCUCUAUGAGGAUGAAAACCUAAUGAAACAAAUCAAAACAGAUGAAACAACCUCAGCCUACAGGCUAAAGAAUGCGCUCACUCACUCAAGUCAUAGUGAAGAUGUGGAACACAUCAUUUUGCUGGUACAGAGGCAGAUUCACAGAUGAGAAUGUCAGGGAUUCUGUCUCAGAGGCGCUCGUGUCCUUACAAGGGAGGUGUAAGGACUACCUUGUUUUUCAUCUGCCCAUCUUCUUCAUUUCAUAUUGGGAUUUCCCCUUCCCAGUUCACAUGCCAACUGGAAGGUUUGCGAGUCCAAAUCCCAGCACUCAUCUGGCAAAGGGGUGAAUGUUUGACUCAUAUUGGAAAAUUAGACUAUAGGAAAGUAAAUGAUGACCCCCUAAUCUGAAAAUGGCUAGAGCGGAUUAAUCCAGCUAGCAGCACUCUGAAGAUAGCUGCCCAUUUGUUCCUGCCAUCUGGCUGUUCAGCUUUCCUUCUUUCUGAGAGCUUCCUUGUGGCAGCUACUGUAGGUUGGUUCACUCAGCGCCCAUUCCAUUUCCCGUCAAGCCGUGCUUUCUCUGCUCUAGAACGUGGAAGACUCAAAGCUCGCUUUCCCAGACUUCCUUGCAGCUAGGAGUGGCCAUGAUACUUGACCAGCGAGAUGCAAGUGUAAGUCUGCUGGGGCUGUCUAUCCCCUUUCUCCUUCUUCCUACUGGAAUGUGGACCUGAUGGUUGUAGCUGUGGCAUAUACCUUAUGAGCAUGAGGGAAAGCUUAAGAGAAUUGCGGGCACCAGCCUGACACUGCUUAGUGACGUCAGGCAGGCACAAACUUCCCUUUGGGCUCCUUGCUGAAGAACUCCAUAGUGGUUUCUGUUACUUGUGGCCAAAUUUACCUCUUCACUGAUACAUGAUCUGCACAUUUUCUUUGCACUUUUAUAAACAGGGUGUAUGCUUGAGGUAGGCAGAGUUUCUGUUUGCAACUAAGAAACCUUAAUUGAUAUAAGGAAAGGAAAAUAAUAUUAUGAUGAUACAAAGCAAACCAUAACACCAUCCAGAAUAAAAUAUGUUCUGGCAGGAGGACGGUCGCAAUACAAGUUCAUGUAGACGUAGUCUGUCACAUUUUUAAGUUUUCUCACAAUGUUUUCCUUUGACUGUCCCAGAUAUCCUAUAAAGUAAGAAUUAUUUUUAUCCCCAUCUUAAAGGUUAAAAA